ensembl:lncRNA
GGAUGGGCCCGAGGGGUUGGCUGUUAUCUUUGGUUAUCUAGCUGUAUGAGUGGUGUACAUUCUUCAUAAAGCUAGAUAACCGAAAGUAACAAGAAUCCCAUUACGCUCCCGCGAGGCCGGUCUCUUGCGCCAACCAAAAGAAACAAAAUGGCCAACGGUCGCGAGGAAGUCAUUCUGGCGUAUGUGCCCAGCCGACCAAUCAGAAGCCUUAAAGGUGACCCAUCACAUUGAAGUUAUGUCACAGCCAGUCCACCACCUUCCAACGGCCACCCCACCUCACCAAUGGUGAUGUCCAUUUCUGAACAUAGUGGUUCCCGCCUGACCUAAAUGGAACCGGAUUGGCUCCUCUUCCAUUUUUUUCUGCCCCAAUAUUUAAACCUGAAGCACUUUGUGGGCGUUGAACGAUCUCCUUUUGGUUGGGGUGAACUUUAGGCACAUGCCUGGACAUGCCUGACAAACUGAACAUGGGGUAAUGUACUGUUGGGUCAUGGAUAGAGUGGAUACUCAACCACAGCUGCCUCUGUGGGCCUAGUCCCCAGACCGUCUUUGGAUACACCAAUCAGAGGAGAAGUUGAAAUGGACUACUGUGCACUAGUGUGUCUCUAUCCUCCUAUAACUAACUGACUGGAUACAUGGACAGAAAUGGAGGGUGUGAGAUGUCUGUGUUCUGUGUUGUGAUGGUACACUGUCUUCUCUGAGACGGCUCUACACACAGCUGUGUCUGUCACAUCUGCAAUACAUUCGACACGGGUCAGCAUGCUGAUCUGAUCAUGUGUGCUGUGCUUGUUUGUGUAUGUGUGCUGGUUUGUCUAAGUACAUACACUUUGAGUCACCCUCACUCAGCGCAAGUUCUGUUCUGGGAUUGUAAGCAACACACACACACGCACACGCACAAGCACACACACGCACGCACGCACACACACACACACACACACACACACGCACACGCACACGCACACGCACACGCACGCACGCACGCACACACACACACACACACACACACACACACACACACACACACACACACACACACACACACACAAAUCACAUCACAUCACAAAUCACAUCACAAAUCAUAGUAAAUGUAUUUUAACCUCCUUAUGGUUAACGGACAUAGGAUUUAUCAUGUGCUUAUGCUACCUGGCAAAAAUAACAUUUGACACUGGAGGAGGUUGUAUGGUUUAGUAGUAGAAUCGCACUGCACCACUGAUUUUAUUAUCAAGGGGAGGUUACAACUGGCAAAUAAGUAUUUUAUUGGACAGCCCACAUAGUAUUCAGAUGAUGUAUGUAUAGAUAGAACACGUACAAUGAAUUAAAGUAGAAACAUAGAAAUGUGCUAAUUGAUUGAUUUAAACAAUUGUAGUAUAAAAAUCAGAGUAGAACGAUUACUUAUGUGUUACAUAGUUUACGUAAUGGAAAUGAAUACUAGUUUAGUUAGAAUUAUUUUCAAAGUGUGAAAAUGUGUUUUAUUUUGUGUAUAUUAUUUCUAUGCAUCUUUUGAAACCUAUGCAAAUGAAUCCACAAAGUAGAUAUUUUAUCAUUUGCUAAUGACGAUCAUUCAAAUUCUCAGAGGGUUUAGAUUUUCCCCCAGACAAUCUGUUAUAUACUGUAGGGGGAUGUGAGAGAUUAGAAAUGAACCCUGGUCCAGACAGUAAAAUAUGUUGGGAUUUUACAGCGUUUUUCUCAACUGAUUUGGAUUUUUAUAUAUUUUUUUACAAGUGUAUCAAUAUCAAAAUAUGAACAUUGGAAUGUUUUAAUUUGUACGACCGUACGGGGACAUCUAUAGAUCUUCAACGAAUGGAUUGACUAGAAAGUUGCAUAUACAGUUUUCCAAACAAUUAUUUGGGGAUUUCAUGUGAACAUUUUUACUCUAUGCAACUUUUAUAUUUGAACUUUUUUUGUAAUAAAUAAUAUGACUAUCAUUCAGAGCAACUGCAAUUCAUAUUUUGAUUUAUGUCAUGCUUUUGAGGAUUAACUUCCACAAUGUUGAAAAUGUUUCAUAUUUUUUGCACCGUUUCAGACUUCAUUUGAGAAAUUAUACAAUGGCUGUAUACUAAAUAUGUUUUAUAGUGUGAUGUACUGUACGGUUUAACAACCAUGUGUACUCUACAUGAACAACAAAUGUGUACUAUAUGGUAUGGAAUAGCCUGUAAAUAUACUGUAUGUUAUCAAGACCACACGACAUGUAGUUGGUUAUGGGCAAUUUGUUGUGAGGAAUGUACAAUCAAGAGUGCAUGUGGGCACUACAUGAGGAGUGUAAACUUGUAAACAGUCAGCGUGAAGUGUGCGUAGAAUUAUGUAUCAUGUAGAAAGCAAGAGUACAAUAGAUGGAAUGUGUGAAAUGUGUGUGGAGGCGUGCACUACGUUGCGGGUGAAUGCGAUGUUUUAAUGACAAUGUUGGAUUUUAAAGAGAUGUUUGCAGGAGUGCACUAUGGCCCACAAGAUCAUAGACUACAUUAGGCAUGUUUGCAAGUGACCUGUGAAUCCUGACUGUAGGGGACCAACUCAUUCUUGUACCAUGGACUGUGUACUGUGCACGAUUAAGUCAACACAAGAAGUGAUUGCGUUUAAAAAGGUAAAAAC